rnacentral:tRNA from 1 species
GCCGGAGUGGCGAAAUUGGUAUACGCAGGGGACUCAAAAUCCCCCGGCUUCACGGCCGUGCGGGUUCGACUCCCGCCUCCGGCACCA